AGGCGGCCCAAUCACACCAGCAGGGCCAGGAGGACCAGUCUUUCCUUGGAAGCCCUACAGAGAAAGGAGAAAGGCAAGACAGGACACAUCUUUGCAGAAGGAGCAUCUCAACAGCAUCCAAGAAGCAGGACUGUUGCUUGCCUGUGACUCUGAAAAAGGAAAGGUGGGGGAUAGGGACACAGAGGACAAGUGAGUCAACAGCAGACAAGGGAAGCAGUCAGGUCAAGCAGUACAUGUACUAGAUACUAUCGUCUCUGGUAUGUCAUCUAUGGCACAGUAUACAUGUAGAUGUUGCAUGACAGCAAGUUGAGAGAUUGCAGCACAUGCUCUAAGCGAGGGCUUGCAGCUUUCAGGAAGUGUGAGAGGAGAGAGAGGACCAUGCAGCAGGAAGCAGAGGAGUGUGCAUCAGCGAGAAGACAACGACACACUGCAGGCAA